rnacentral:rRNA from 1 species
GACGAACGCUGGCGGCGUGCUUAACACAUGCAAGUCGAACGGAAAGGCCCUGCUUUUGUGGGGUGCUCGAGUGGCGAACGGGUGAGUAACACGUGAGUAACCUGCCCUUGACUUUGGGAUAACUUCAGGAAACUGGGGCUAAUACCGGAUAGGAGCUCCUGCUGCAUGGUGGGGGUUGGAAAGUUUCGGCGGUUGGGGAUGGACUCGCGGCUUAUCAGCUUGUUGGUGGGGUAGUGGCUUACCAAGGCUUUGACGGGUAGCCGGCCUGAGAGGGUGACCGGUCACAUUGGGACUGAGAUACGGCCCAGACUCCUACGGGAGGCAGCAGUGGGGAAUAUUGCACAAUGGGCGGAAGCCUGAUGCAGCAACGCCGCGUGCGGGAUGACGGCCUUCGGGUUGUAAACCGCUUUCGCCUGUGACGAAGCGUGAGUGACGGUAAUGGGUAAAGAAGCACCAGCUAACUACGUG